AUAAAAAAAAUACCAAAUAAGUGUAGCCCACGUGACUCGAACCUUCGCAGCCAGCUCAACAGCUACGUAGCUGCACCACCAUGCCAACCAAUCUUAUUUCUACCUUUCUGUUCAAUUGAAAUAUAACUAAUAUCAGAUUCUUCUUCCACCUUCCUUUUCUGGGUUCUUCGCAAAUCGCAAGUUCACAUCUUCAAAUCUCUGUAACUUGUAGAUGCGGCUGGCCUCAUCUAGCCAUGAUUGGACGAUCUGAUUUGGAGCUCCGCCUUCAGGCCACUUCACAGCGGCGGGCGCCCCGGUGCCGUUAGAUUUGUCUCUUCGCCGCGUUAUGCCUCUAGUCUCGAUUUGUCCAAUCUUUGAGUGAGGGAGGACAAUCAAAAUCCUAAAGUUUCGGUGGCACCCAGCCUCCGACGGUUUCACCAAGUUUCCGGCGAGUAGGGUCACUUUUCGCAGUGCAUGGGAGACAGGUGCUGGUGAGAUUUGACGGGUUUAGGUGAGUUUUGAUGCACGAUUGCCGGUGAUGGAUGAUAGAAGAGUUGCCGCUACGUUUGCCUGUGGUUGCGACGACCCUCUUCGAAGCGGUGGAGAUUGCGUGUGGUCAUAGCUGAAAGUGAGGUGGAGGAGGGUGGUCGGGGAUUGGGUCGGGUUUGGCCCUGGGUUUGCGGUAUAUUAAACAAUGAGGUCGAUCGAGGUCGAGGACUCUAAGGUCCCAGCUGCAUCGCAUGGGUUUGAUUGAUCUUUUGAUUUGGAAUUCUGAUAUUUGGUAGAUUUGGGCCAUGAACCUGAAUGAAAGUUCUUGCUCUCGAUCUUGAUCUAAUGGAAUUGGGGACCCUGGGUUUUUGUUAGUUAUGAAUUUCAGAAUUUGGGAAUCUGUGGAUGAUAAUCACGCAAAGCUACACUGGGUGUGUUGGUGUUGAUGCUGAUGAUGGCACGGUGUUGAAAGAAAGAGAAUGGAAUAACAGGUCACCCGGUCAACAUUUUCAACCGUUAGAUUUCAGACUUGAUAUCCAACGGUCUAUAAUAAGCUGACGUGCCCAAGCAUGGCAAGCUCGGAGCAUGGAAGAAUUUUCGUCCCAAGUCCUAUAAAACCAGUUUUAGCACCCCCUAAAAAGCCCCGUUGGAGAACAAAAGUCCUAUAAUUGUCCAAGUUCUGGUAUAGGGCCUCCUUGUUGGAGUUGCCCUUAAAGCGUCUUUCUUUAUCUUUUUGGUUAUUGAGAUGGGUUUUGAAAAAUUUGCCAAGGUUGAAGAGGAUGAAGGGUUUCUAGGU